UCCUCCCCUCCCUGCUCUGUGGUUUGCUCUGUGUUUCCCCCAUGAAAACUUGAAACCUCCCCGUGAUAAGUGAGGUCCUAUGUAGACAGAGCAGGGGAGGGGGGAGGAGCUGUGGACGUCCUCAUUCUCCCCCUGCUUGAAUCUUACAGAUAGGGGCGUUUCUGAGGAUGAGCCUAUGGCUGCCUCAGAAAGCACCCGCUCAUGCAUAUGCAUAAGCAGGGAGGAGCUGACAGAGGCUAGGGGGAGCACAAACACUGCUGGGAGGAAGAGAUCUCCGUCCCCAAGAUGGCGGCUGCAAUGUAAUGAAUAGGGGACGGACGCAGGACUACUGGGCUAUGCUGGCAACUCUAAUAUCUCAGAAACGGCUGCAUAUAGCUACUCUGGUUCAGAAAAGAUGAAGGUCUGUCAGGGAUAGUUACUUCAAGUACAUGUGAGAUGCACAUUUGCCGAGUGGGUCAGGAGCUAAGAAAACAACCUACAAACAUGCUUCAAGACUGGCCUUUCUGAAUAAGGUUCUAGAAUUACGAGCAACAUCUUUAAAUACUGCAGACCAAGCACUCUUGGAGGAACCCAUAGUGAUUGAAGGCACUGAACCCCCUACAGACUUAGAAGGAGAAACGCAUGCUCCUGCAACAAUAUCUAAAACUCUUCUACAAAGAAUGUCUCAAAGACAUUGUUCCCGUAAAAAUAAAGAGUCUCAAAGGCACCAAUAUUUUCUGGAGAAUCAAUCUCCUCAAAAUUUCUGCAUGUUGAUGUCAGAUUACUACGUGUAGAGGGUUUGGUGUCUGGGCCCGAACCAAGUCAACAUCGUGACUUUCUUCAUACAUUCUUUGCAUCAAUGGAGCGUAUGACUGAGCAGCAGCUGGCAAACUUUAAGGCUAGGAUGUUCCGCCUUGCCCACGAAUGUCUGAUUCGCCCCCCCCCCCCCCCCUUGCUCCUUAUCCUUUUGUUCAACCUCCCCUUCCCCAUCUUUCCGACAACAAAGAUCCCGAACCUUCCCUUCUCCUUACCCUUAUCCUCCCACCCAAUAUGAGGAUACAUUUGAGGCUGAGGAUGGGCAAGUUUAUUGCCAUGUAUAGUGUUUUGUUAUAUGUUUAUAUAUCUAUAUGGUUUAUAACAGUUUUGUUUGGAAUAAUUGUUUAUAAAACU